UAUUAUUCAUACUUCAUUAUUGUCUUGUCUAGCAGUUAGGAAAGGAAUGAAUCCUACACUAUUAUACAACUUGCAAUUUAUUUUCAUUUACUCCAUAAUGAUGAAACCGUAAACCCUGUGUCCCUAUCUUCUUGAAUAAAUUGAAAGACAUGGGGAUAACCAAGCCUAUUAAACAAAAUUUCUAUCUCAUCAAUUUGAGGAUAUCUGCCUAACAAACAAAUAACAGAGAUGAAGCCUACCUUAUCAUUUCAAGUGACCACAAAGCUUUGUUAUGAAUUUUAUUCUCCUCCAAUCUAAUUUGUUAGCAUCUCAACAGAUAGUUCUUCGUUUUCAACCUUGGAUCGUGGAACCAAACUUUGGAACGAGAGAUAUCGUGUGUAAACUAUAGUUGCGAAUUUAGCCUUGUAUUGUUCUCAGAAGGAAAGCGUCUAAGGUAAGAGUUUUUUCCCCAUAAAUUCAUACUACGUAAGGGUUGUGUUGUGAAGUGGUAAUAGGGCAUUUAUCUUUUAAAAGAAAUAAUUAAAAAUAAACUAAUAGAAAGAAACUAGUUUUGUUUGAAGUGUGUUAUCGUUUGAGAAGUGAGUUGACGAUGAUUUGAUUAUGAUAUAUUUAGUUUGUGGUUUGUUAAAAUCCAUUAAAAGUUCAUUAUAUAAAUCAAGGGAAAUAUGAAUAAAAGUAUAGAGAGGAUUAAGUUAUCCGUUCUUGUCGCUAGUCAUAUUGAUUUAGUGUAGAAAAGGACUAUAUUCAAAAUAUCUGAUUUAGAAUUGACAUAGUUGAAUCAAAUUUAAUGGAGUUGAUACUUAUAAGGCGUGUGAUUAUGCCGUUGUAUUAAUAAUAAAUUGCCGUUGUUGCCUUGAUUCCGCUGGUGGCCGAUUAGCUGCCGUUUGUCGUGUUGCUACGGUGGUAGUUGAACUGCCAUUUGUCGUAUUGUCCUUGUUGUUGUUAUGAGUUGUUUCAUUUUAUUAAUUGUUGAGUUGAUAUGCAUAUGGUUGGUCGUCUAAGAGAGAUAGUUUGCCAUUAUGUGCCCAAUUGUUUAUCUGUUGAGAAGUUAUUCGACUACUUUUUCAUGGAAAAUAAAUAAUUAUAUAUUUUUUUUUAGAAAUCUUUUGAUUGAUGAAGUGUUUUGUUAUUAUUUUAUGACAUUUUUCUUAUGGUGAGUAUGAUUCAAUUUGGAUAAGGAAAUUGACCCUUACAAUUAACAUUUUAGGUACUCAAGGAGAUGAUCAUGAUUGGUGCUUUUGCUUGAUGCGUGCGUGGGGAUAAACAAUUGGGGGGUUUUUAUUAACUUGUAAUUUAAAUGAAAUAUUGUAUCAUUGUAUAAGUAUUACUUGUAAUCGCAGAUAAUUAUUCUUUUUUACGAAAAUAAGAAUUUAGUCAUACUCUUUAAGGA
rnacentral:lncRNA from 1 species